rnacentral:rRNA from 1 species
GACGAACGCUGGCGGCGUGCUUAACACAUGCAAGUCGAACGGAAAGGCCCUGCUUUUGUGGGGUGCUCGAGUGGCGAACGGGUGAGUAACACGUGAGUAACCUGCCCUUGACUUUGGGAUAACUUCGGGAAACUGGGGCUAAUACCGGAUAGGAGCUCCUGCUGCAUGGUGGGGGUUGGAAAGUUUCGGCGGUUGGGGAUGGACUCGCGGCUUAUCAGCUUGUUGGUGGGGUAGUGGCUUACCAAGGCUUUGACGGGUAGCCGGCCUGAGAGGGUGACCGGCCACAUUGGGACUGAGAUACGGCCCAGACUCCUACGGGAGGCAGCAGUGGGGAAUAUUGCACAAUGGGCGGAAGCCUGAUGCAGCAACGCCGCGUGCGGGAUGACGGCCUUCGGGUUGUAAACCGCUUUCGCCUGUGACGAAGCGUGAGUGACGGUAAUGGGUAAAGAAGCACCGGCUAACUACGUGCCAGCAGCCGCGGUGAUACGUAGGGUGCGAGCGUUGUCCGGAUUUAUUGGGCGUAAAGGGCUCGUAGGUGGUUGAUCGCGUCGGAAGUGUAAUCUUGGGGCUUAACCCUGAGCGUGCUUUCGAUACGGGUUGACUUGAGGAAGGUAGGGGAGAAUGGAAUUCCUGGUGGAGCGGUGGAAUGCGCAGAUAUCAGGAGGAACACCAGUGGCGAAGGCGGUUCUCUGGGCCUUUCCUGACGCUGAGGAGCGAAAGCGUGGGGAGCGAACAGGCUUAGAUACCCUGGUAGUCCACGCUGUAAACGGUGGGUACUAGGUGUGGGGUCCAUUCCACGGGUUCCGUGCCGUAGCUAACGCUUUAAGUACCCCGCCUGGGGAGUACGGCCGCAAGGCUAAAACUCAAAGGAAUUGACGGGGCCCCGCACAAGCGGCGGAGCAUGCGGAUUAAUUCGAUGCAACGCGUAGAACCUUACCUGGGUUUGACAUGGAUCGGGAGUGCUCAGAGAUGGGUGUGCCUCUUUUGGGGUCGGUUCACAGGUGGUGCAUGCCUGUCGUCAGCUCGUGUCGUGAGAUGUUGGGUUAAGUCCCGCAACGAGCGCAACCCUUGUUCACUGUUGCCAGCACGUUAUGGUGGGGACUCAGUGGAGACCGCCGGGGUCAACUCGGAGGAAGGUGGGGAUGACGUCAAGUCCUCAUGCCCCUUAUGUCCAGGGCUUCACGCAUGCUACAAUGGCUGGUACAGAGAGUGGCGAGCCUGUGAGGGUGAGCGAAUCUCGGAAAGCCGGUCUCAGUUCGGGUUGGGGUCUGCAACUCGACCUCAUGAAGUCGGAGUCGCUAGUAAUCGCAGAUCAGCAACGCUGCGGUGAAUACGUUCCCGGG